CUCUUUCUGAUUGAGUGUAAGCUGCUAUAUGAAAGGAUCCACAAGAUGAAUAAUUAAAGGGGACCUCUGAUCAACAGCCAGCAAGGAACUGAAUCCCUCAGACCCACAACUCACAAGAAACUGAAGUUGAAGCAGAUUCUACCUCAGUCAAGCUUCAGGUGCCCAGCUGGAUUGGUAGAGGAGACCAACCACACCCUCUGCAGCACAGCACCUGGAGAGGAACUGCUGCCAUGACCAUAGAGGACACCCUCUGGAUACAAUGCCAGACUUGAUGUGGGACUGACCAACCUAUGGACCCCAGGCACCACCACCCAGACCUGCUCAGCACCUGAAACAUUCACAGCCAUGGAGAGAGAACUGUUCACUGCUACCAUCCACACUUCCGGGCCCCUUCAGCAGCAGGGUGACAAGGAAGAGGGAAAUCGACUUGGAAAAGAGGGGAGUGGAGCAGGAGCCUGAGGUCAUAUGAGUUUGCAGCUCCUGUGUGGGACCACCACUUCACAAGCCAGGGAAAGGCAAUCAGCACCCCAGUGUUCUUAGCACGUCAUGCCCCGGUACAGCCUCCAUUCCACAAGUGGUGGGGCUGGGCAGAAGAAAAGAGCUCUUACUACUCAUUUCCACUGAUCUGGAACAUAGCUGCAGUAACAGAUAUCUGGGGCAAGAAGAGAAACACUGAAGUCCUGCUCUUCCUGGUAAUAAAGGCCUCUCUGACUAGAAGCUGGUGGGGCAAGGAAGCCCUGUGGUCUUGGCUGCAGCAGUCUGGAGUGGAGUCUCUGCUUUAUGGGGGGAAGAGUGGAUCCAAGGUGGAGGCUUUCUCUUCCCAGCUUGCAAACCGGUAUCUCCAGCAAAGCUCUCCUUUCUACUAUUCAGCUAUCCUGGUGGUCUUUUGGAUGACAACUUGCAGAUAGAUAAG
rnacentral:lncRNA from 1 species